rnacentral:rRNA from 1 species
CCUACGGGUGGCAGCAGUGGGGAAUAUUGGACAAUGGUGGGAACCCUGAACCAGCGACGCCGCGUGAGUGAAGAAGUUUUUCGGUAUGUAAAGCUCUAUCAGCAGGGGAGAAAAUGCCGGUACCUGACUAAGAAGCCACGGCUAACUACGUGCCAGCAGCCGCGGUAAUACGUCGGGGGCAAGCGUUAUCCGGAUUUACUGGGUGUAAAGGGAGCGUAGACGGUGCAGCAAGUCUGAUGUGAAAGGUCGGGGCCCAACCCCGGGACUGCAGUUGAAACUGUUGAACUGGAGUACAGGAGAGGUAAGCGGAAUGCGUAGUGUAGCGGUGAAAUGCGUAGAUAUUAGGAGGAACACCAGUUGCGAAGGCGGCUUACUGGACUCUAACUGACGUUGAGGCACGAAAGCGUGGGGAGCAAACAGGAUUAGAUACCCCUGUAGUC